AGCUCAAGCUGGGGGGUCAGGGAGGGCUCCCUCCGACUGGGCCGAGAGGUUUCCGCGGCUGCUCCCGGGAGCCCAGGCUGACAUCAGCUCUGCUCCAGAUGUGGGGACUUGGGGAACCAUACUGGCGCCGGGGCCUCUGAGUGUCCCGUGAGAGAUCCAGAAGGUUCAACAAGACAAAAAUCAGAAUCCGAUUCCGUGCCACCCUCCGAGUGCCCAGCACCCCCCGGGGCGGAUUCCCCCGGGAGGCCGGGGACUUGGGAACGCGCGUGGGCCCCUGACGCCCGACUGGUCUUUCCCGUGUAGCUGGCGGAUCCCGGUCGCUGUAGGGGCCGGAGGGUUGGCGGUGCCGCUGCUCCCGCGCAGACAAAGGCGCGCGGGGCGCCCAGCCCGGACCCCAGGACGCGCCCGGCCCGGAGGCUCGGGCCCCUUCCGCCCCUGUGCCUUCUUUGUUCUCCCCAAACAAGUUACUUGCACAAAUCAGGGCUUGGAUCCGGCUUUCCCUGACCUGUUGGCAGUGCCGUGAAAAGAAUCUGGUUUCCGGGAGGAAACAUAAACUUUCCAAGGGGUAGCUGGUUGAACUUUCUUGGAACGUGACAUUUGUGGCAGACAGGAGAGUGGAACCUCGGCUGGUGACGGCCCCUGACAGCCCAGGGAACUCGCUGGUACUAGCCUUAGGUAGCCAGGCUGGGGGGGGAUGAAGUCUCACCCUCUCCAAGUCCCCUGCUUGGGGACCCCAGGAGACGAAUCCCAGGCCGACCCCUUUAUUACCUGCCCCAUUUUCCUCUGGAAAAUGUUUGCCUUUCUGCCUGUGUCGUGGGUGUAUUGUCUAAAUUGCAAAUGCCUUUAAGCCGGGAUAGUGUGUGGGUUAUCUGGACCUUGGUUUCUGGAGACAAGUUUUGGCCCCAAGGGCCUUGAUGCUUACUUGCAUUUUGGAUGGGAUUUGGUCCUUUGGUCCCUCUGCUUCCUGCCCCUGGUUCUAUUUUCCUACAAAGACUAUUACAAGUUUGGCGGGGUUUGCUUAUUAAAGUCCUUGGUGGUGGCGGAGGAUGUGAUACCUCAGAGGUCCACUGGGCUCAGAACAGUGUCAACUUGUUCACUGAAAGUGCACAACCAGAACCGGGUAAUAUUAAACAGCUACAGUUCCAGAAGACUCCCUUUCAGGGAGUGAAAAGUCAGGGCUUGAAGUAUGGAAUGCUCAUGGUUUCCUGCUUCCAAACCUAGGCCGUGGCUUCUGCCAAACUGGCUAAGAUUCUCCCUGGCUGCCUACCACACAGGGCCCAGGUGGUGUUAGUCAGUACUUAGGGCUCUCUGGGACUCGAGUUCUUAGAAUAAUGAGGGAACAGUUCUUAAGUCAAACUGUGUGGAAGGAAACCAAAGGACCAGAAUGCAUAGAUUUGAACAGAAAGAAAAAGAGUGAGGCCUAGAAUAGAAGGUUCUAAAGAUCUUUUACGUGGUGGGGUUCCUGGUACGUGUGUGUGUGUGUGUGUGUGUGUGUGUGUGUGUGUGUGUGUGUUGGGGGGUCAUGCAUGGAGCAGGACAUAGAAUAGAAGGUUCUAGAGACCUGUUGUUUGGUGGGGUUCCUGGUGUGUGUGUGUGGGGGUCGUGUGUGGAACAGGACAUAGACUAGGUUAUAGAGACCUCUUGUUUGGUGCUAUUCCUGGUGUGUGUGCAUAGUUCUUAGGUGAGCUGGUUUUGUUUCAUCUUGCACGCCACAUUUUUUCCCCAUGAGGAAAACUUCUGUCCACCUAGAGGUGGCAAGCAAGGGAGAUGCUGUCCCUGUGGCUCCCCUCCUCCUCCUCUUCAGAAGAAGGCACUGUUGUCUAGGUGGUUCAGAUUCUGUUCAGCUGUGGGCUGGAGGGUUCCAUCGGACUGAAGAACAUGUGGAGACCGAAGGACUUAAAAGCACAUCUUUCAGCAGCUGCAGCAGCAGCACACGAAUGUAGAAACCUGAGUGGUUUUCUGGGAAAGUCUCUGUCGAUGUGUGGAGAAUGCAGCUUCCAGAGCUUCGCUGGAUGGCUGUGUUCUCUCUGAUGUCCAGACCCACACAGAUGUGUGACCCCAGAGCCCAGGAGGGAGGCAGAAUUAAUGGAUGUGAGGCAGUGUCCUCUGGAUGUCUUCUGGGGUGAUUGUGGAAGUGCUUUGAAGAUGAUAACUCUACAGUGCACAGGACUUCAACACCGAGUGACUCGGGGAGGACAGACAGUACAGAACCUUGAUUUUCAGACCAAUAGGUUGAGCUCUGUGAGAACUGCGAACACUUCUAACAUUUACCAACGUUUUCUCAAACAGCAUUCUUUCCUGUCUGUGUGCUGUGUGUGCCUGUGCAUAUGGAAGCUCAGGCCUGGACAGUUUAUAGUGUUUGGCAUGUUUCGUUAACACUGGAGGUUCUUAUCACCCAGAACUCAGAAGAUGACAGAAUCCUUGGAAAGCAAGGGGUUAGGGAGGUCAGGCUAGAGGACGUAUUAGAUUACAAAGUUUGCUGGAAAUUGUUGUCUGAGGUUAUUGAGGUUUUUAAUAUUUGUUUGCCUAGAGACCUUUUUUCCUGUUGGCUUGCCUUUGCUUUGUCUCAGAGGAGUGGCUCUGUGUACACCUGGCAGUGGUAGGUGGGUCAGCACGCUAUCUUUCUCUGGAAGGAAGCCAUUGAUGCUCUCGGGUCUUGCGCUGGGUUUAGGAUGGACUCUCUGUCACUCUGAGACCCUAGGGACAGUCAUCCCAAGCUCUGGGCAGAACUCCCAGCCACCCCAAGAGGCUCAACAAUUCAUCAGGAUUUUAGGUUUCGGUCUUUCCCCUUUCUUUGUAGGAGGAAGGUAGAGGAAUGGGAGUUAGGAGCACGGUCCCGCUAAGUCUCGGGUAGAGCUUUCUAAAGGCUGUGUUUUCUCACUGGCCAUCACUGCAGCUUUAGGCACGCACUUCUGUUUGUCGUCUGUGGUUCGCCCAGUCUUCACUUUCCACUUGAAAUAAUCUUAGCUUCAGAGGAUGUUGUAGGAACAGUAGUGAGGUCCAGGGUACUGGUUCUCUUCUCCUGGUGACCGUUUUGCCGUCUUGGCACCCUAGAAGAACCCACAUAGCAUGGGCGCAGUCCUCGGAGCCUGUACGGGAGUCUUGGGUUUGCACGCACGCAUGUGGCUUGUUCAUUUUUACUGCCCGAGUAGUAUUCCAAGGUCUAGGUGUGCUGUGGUUUGGCCAUUUGCCUGUUAAAGGUCACCUGUGUUACUUUCAGUGUUUUGUUUAUUACCGAUAAAGUUUCUGUGGAUGCUCACAAACAGGGUUUCGUGCGGACGUGUUUUUUCACUAUUUCAGAUAAGCAGCCAGGGGGCUAGGUUAUAUGGUGGCCAUGCUUCUGACAAAAUGAUUACUAAACUUUUCUCCUAGUAGCUUUUUCGUUUUAGAUUCCUCCCAGCAGUGUAAAUGCCUGGAUUUUCUGCAUCCUGACCACCUGAUGUCAUUGGUUUUUUUUUUUUUUUUUUUUUUGGUUCUUUUUUUUUUUUUUUGGUUCUUUUUUUUUUUUUUUUUUUUUUUCCCGGAGCUGGGGACCGAACCCAGGGCCUUGCGCUUCCUAGGCAAGCGCUCUACCACUGAGCUAAAUCCCCAACCCCCGAUGUCAUUGGUUUUUAUUUUAGCUGUCCCAGCGGGUGUUCUAAUAGGUGCCGUAAGCUUGCUGUGGCUUUAAUUCAUAUUUCCCCAAUGCCUACAGACUUGCACAUCCUCUCUGCUCAUGUGCUGUCUGGCCUCUAUGAGGAAAAACCAUUCCUGAGCUGUGUUCUGCCUCUGUCCUCACUGGGUCGUUUACUUUACCACUGGGCUGCAGUGGUUCUUUGUAUGCAGUCUGUGGCAUGCAUCUUCUCCCACUCUGUGGGUUUCUCCUUUCGUUCUCCUUCUGGAACCAUUUUGAAAAACUAAGUCUGUAAUUUUGGUAAAGUCCAACUAACUGAUUUGUCCCUCCUAAGUAUCUCUUGCCUAGGCCUGUGUCCCUAAGACUAUGCUUGCUUCUAAAAUGCUUGUAAAUUAUGUCUCAAAAUCUGCAAGUCUUAGUGUUGGCCCUUAUUUAUUUCUACCUACAAACAACUAUUAGUUUAUUGUGUGUGCAUUUGUGCUUGCAUGUGUGGGGUGUGCAUGUGGAGGUCAGAUGACAACUUACGGGAGUUAGUUCCCUUCUUCUAUUGUGUGAGUUCAGGGGAUAGAACUCAGUUUAACAACCUUGGCAGCAGGGGUGCUUGUCCACUGAGCCCCACUUUUUAAAAAAGUAAAUUAGCAUGAAAAAUGUGAUUUCCUUCUGGCUUUCAGACACUUUUUGUUGGCCCUCCUCUUCUGCACUCUUGCUUCCUCUCUAUUCCUACCCUGGAAUAACUCCCACACACUCCAUCAGCCUUCCCCUCCUUACCUCUUCCUUAAGUCCUCUCCUGGUCCCGCUUCUGGUUUCAUGGCCUGAACCUUCCACAUAAAAGGCUGAAGUCUAGGAUCUGGUCUCCAGCUCACAGCAGUCUCUGUGCGUUAGUCUCCCAAGGACUAUGAAUACUUGCUGACAAGGCCAGCUAGUUGAGGACUUAUGAACAGCGCAUGAAAUGAUGGCUCGAAACACAGGUGGGAAAGCACAGUGUUUAUAACUCAGUAACACAAAGGUGAGGAAAAUGAAUAGAUGAGUUGGUAUAUAUUUAAUAUAUGUUUAAUAACGGUCUUAACCUCUGCCACCCCCAUACUAUGUGUCCUCGGGGAAUUUGCCUGCUGAAGCCUCAGAGGUAAAGUGAGGUUGAAGACAGCUCCCAUACCUCAGAGUUGCAUGAGGGGAAAAACUGAAAUAUAAGACGUAAGUCAUAACUAGCUCAGUGCCAGGCACAACGGAGCCUGCAGUAAACACAUGCUACCACUAGGACUAAAACAGCAGGAAGUGCUGAUGGCUGGCUCACUGGGUAAAAGCACUGCCACCAAGCCCGAUGGCCUGAGUUCAGUCCUGGGGACCCAUAUGGCAGGAGGAGGGAAUGAGUUUCUGGAAGUUGUUCUCCAACCCCCGCAGGGAUGGGACACGGCAUUUGCUGCCCCCGCCGAAUAAAAUAAGUGAAACAAAAUUUACCAAAACAGUGGGUAAGCAAACCGUUGUACAGUAUUGUGUGUUCUUGUAGGUACUCUUACAGAAGCCUCUCUUUCUUCAGCUUGGGGCUUCAGGCGUUUCAUAUCAUCAAUGAAGUGGUUUGGAAGCUGGGAUGCUGAAUUCACGAUCUGGUUCAGUCUGUAGAACGGGCCAUUUUCUUUUUGAAAACAGUGAGGGAGUAGAGGAAGAUGCCCUUUCUGUGCUGACCUCAGCAGGUGGCAGGAUAUGGGCCGCUGCCCCAAGGCUGGAAUCAGUCAGGAUGUGAUCUGAACCUCCUGACCGGCAGCCCUGCUUCCUUUUCCUCAGUGACCUCAGGUUUUUGUUUCCAGAGGAAAAAAGAGUAGUUCUCAUCCUGAGGAGGGCGCUGAGCAGUCUUUGGGAGGGCUUGUUACAACACUGGGUGCCAGGCCAGCCCUGGGAGCUGUUCUGUCUCAGGAGGUCGCAGGAGGGCCUAGGACUUUGUUUUUAACACACCUCUAGAUCACACAUGGAGAGGCAUGGCCCUUUAAGUUGGGCCUGCCUUGAAGCAGCCCUCUGUGGAAUGGAGUUUGAAAGGUGACAUUUGGAACAGGCUGGUUUCUGAGAUGAGCGGAGGGUGUCUGUGUACUUUCUCCUCGGGUCUCUCCGGUCAAACUCUCUCCCAUACACCUGCUUCCUCUUCUCUACCUGUCUUUUGUCACUCAGAGGACAUGUCAGGUCUGGGUCUGUGCCACUGUAGACAGGUUAUACUGCCUGAGGAAAAAUACUCCUCAGCCUCUGUCAAAUAAACAGAUUUGCUAAAUAUUUAUAUUCUGACAUGAGCAUGGAGUUGAGGUGGGACAAUGAAUAUGAAAGGAGACAAAGGCAGGGUACUGGAAAAUAAGGUUCGAAGACAUUGUAUUUAAUUUCGUGUAUGCAUAUGUGUGUGAGAGGCUAUGUUCAUGUGUGUGCCCGUGCCUGUGGAGGCCAGCAGCCUUGGAUUUUCUGGGGCUACAGUUACAGGGGCUUGUGAGCUUCCUGAUGUGCAUACUGAGAGCUGAACUAGAGUUCUCUAGAAGAACAGUGAGUGCUCUUAACUGUUCAAUUGUCUUUCCAGCCCCUUUAAAAAAAUGGUCUUGUGCAUCCUUGAUGUGUCUUUUGAGCAGUGUCUGGACAUGCUGUGGGCCAUCUCUCCUAAUGCUGAAAAGGCCACCAACCACCUCUGCUCGUGCUAAGGAUUACUUGGUUAUGGUUGUAGAGACAUGUGAAGAAGAUCCCUGCAGGGAUCGAGUGGUUGACUUGGGUGUCUUGGGUUUUCUAAACCAAGAUGUCGUAGAGGCACGUUGACAAAUGGCAACAGCAACUAGAGAAGGGCUUGGUGUUGAACCUUCUGCAAGGAGGCUCAGGUAGUGGCAUACUGUUUCCUUGCAGAAACAGGUUUCUAUGUGUUUUUCCUCCCUGCCAGUUUAGGGCAGAUGUGAUCUGUAUAAUAUCUGUAGUCCUCCCUUCCUUCCUUCCUUUUUUCCUUCCUUCCUUCCUUCCCUCCCUCCGUCCUUCUGAUUUAGAUCUCCAGUGUCUGUAGUCACCACCAGCCACCUUAAAUCAACAAAAAGCUGAAAGUCCAGGUCUUCAGCUCUGCUGGCCACAAUUCAGGCUGUAGCGAUUACUUCCACUAUUGCAGCAAUUCCUAUCCAGUGUGGAUGAAUGGUAUCCCAUUCAUGAAGGAGAAAGGCCAAGCUGCUCCCCUGAAGUCAGCUGCAGCUAGAUGGUGAGAACUCCCAGGGGAGUGCUCUAUCCGAAGGAGCCUCCCUACCUCCCCAUGCCACUUCUCUCUUCAUUUGGUAGGCAGAGCAGCAUGGUACCUGAAGUGUGCCAGGCUAGACCUCCUCCUAGGCUCUUAUCAAAGCAUCCUUUCAGUUUCUAAGGAUGCUCAGCCGGUGGCAUUCUCCUAGGGGAUGCUUUAGAGAGGGAUACACUGAGGGGCCCAGGCAGAAUUGGCACUGAGAAGCCCUUCUGGACAAGGUCAUUCAAGCCAGUUUGGCCACCCUAACUUGAUCAGUAUCUCUGUUGAACCAGAGUUGGGGGCUAGCCCAGUUUUUCUCUCAAGUGUUUGAACUUGCUCACCAACCCCCAUCCCCAGGUCUUUACAGACCACCUCUGAAAUGAGGUACCUUUUAACAUGCUUUCUCUUCCUUUGCUGACAGCAGUCUCCUCAGCUUCUGCUUGCCACAGGUACCAUACACAUGGCAGCUUCUUCUUCAGGCCUCUGAGCUGUCUUGUCCUUUCUGUUUCUUCCCUCUCUACCGCCAUCAUCUCAGAACAGACCAAGCAAGACAAGAAUGGUAGGUUGCCAGCUCCUCUCACAGGCUUGGUUUGCCAGGAGCCGGCGAGGAAGGGGCCAGUGAGGAAGGAGGCGUCUCCUGCUGCUGCUGCUGCUGUACACUUAGGGCAGCCUUGGGGACUAUGCUCAGGGAUGUAGGUUCGAAGGAAGCCUCUCCCUUUCCCUUCCUUAAUGGUUUGGAACCACAUUUCUUGUUAACCAGUCCCCUCCAUCUGGGGGCCUCAUGGAAGGAGUACUUCUCUGGUAAGGGUUGUUUCCCUGGGAAUGCCCCCUUCCCCUGUCCCCCUUCUCCCGUCCCCCUUCCCCUGCCCCCUGUCCCCUGCCCUCCACCCCGUGCACACACAUACCCUGAGUAUCUCUGACAUUAUUUCCAUUGCUCAUUUUGGAGAUUCAGGGAAAAGUUAAAAGAUUUAAGGACAGACAUACUAGAAAUGUACUUUUUUAAAGAACAGUGUAGAAUUAUGGACACUGGAUAAUUAAGGGUAGGCAGUCCCAGGCUGUUGGUAUUUUCAGGAUUACAUAAAUAGAUUUACAUAUGACCCUGGGAAGUAUAGAGCAGGAAAGUAAGAAUAAGUGUAAAUGUCUACUCUGAGAUACGGAUUUUCUUAGUUCUGAGUUUAAAAAAAAAUGAGAUUUUUUUUUCAAAACUGUGAAGUUUCUAUAUUUUCUCCAAAGUAAAUUCCAGGAGUUUGGAGGGGGAAAAAAGAAAACACAUAUUUAUAUUCCAGUGACAUUUACUCAGUGACUAAGAUCAUUUUAUUAGUUUAGGAGCACAACUCAGAGAUUUUAAUAAAGGCUGCUCAUGAAGUGAACAGGUUUGCAGUAUUGGGACAGCAUGUGUGUGUGAGUGAGUGAGUGUGUGUGUGUGUGUGUGAGUGUGUGUGAGUGAGUGAGUGUGUGUGUGUGAGUGUGUGUGAGUGAGUGUGUGAGUGUGUGUGUGAGUGUGUGAGUGAGUGUGUGAGUGCGUGUGUGUGUGUCUGAGUGUGUGUGUGAGUGUGUGAGUGAGUGUGUGUGUGAGUGCGCGUGUGUGUGAGUGUGUGUGAGUGAGUGUGUGAGUAUGUGUGAGUGUGUGUGAGUGAGUGUGUGAGUGCGUGUGUGUGUGUCUGAGUGUGUGUGUGAGUGUGUGAGUGUGUGUGUGUGUGAGUGCAUGUGUGUGUGAGUGUGUGUGAGUGUGAGUGUGUGUGAGUGUGUGAGUGAGUGUGUGUGCGUGUGUGUGUGAGUGCGUGUGUGUGAGUGAGUGUGUGUGUGAGUGUGUGUGUGAGUGUGUGUGAGUGAGUGUGUGAGUAUGUGUGUGUGUGAGUGUUUGUGCGUGCAUGCGAGUGAGUGAGUGUGUGUGUGUGUGUGUGUGUGUGUGUGUGUGUGGUACUGUAUCUUCCUCCAUCUUGCCUUCCACCCUGGUUUCAGUCUCUCACUGAGGGUGGGUUGGCUGGAAGAGCUGGCCAGUGAGCUCCAGAGAGCUGACUCUUCUAACUGGGAACACAGGCCAGCUCCCUGGGUCAGGUUUUUAUGUGGAUGGUGGGGGUGUGGACACUGGUUCUUGUACUCAUGUGACAAGCACUUUACUUUCUGAGCCGUCUCUCCAGCCCAAGGUUAGUAGGUUUUGUUUUUGUUUUGUUUUUAAUUUUAAGGCAAUAAUUACAAAUAUGUUCCUGAAGUUUGCUUGUAGAUUUUUUCAUUUUUCUCUCUUGGAGGAAGGUAUCUGCUGAGUAUUGCUGAGGUGAUAUUUCCUGCUUUUAGACUAGUUAAGCAAAAAAAAAAAAGAAUACAGAAAUUGGAAUGUGAAGUGUCCCCAUAGGUAUUUGAACACUUGGUGUCCCCAGCUGCUGUAGAUGUUUGGAAAGGGUCAGAAACAUUUGGGAGGUGGAGCCUCAUUGGAGGAAGUGAGUCACUGGAGGCGGGCCUUGAAGCUUUGUAGCCCAGCUCUACUUCCUGUUCAUCAGUGUUUCUGCCACCAACCAUUCCCCUCCAUGAUGGAAUCUAUGCACUGAAUUGUAAGUUAGAAUAAACCCUUCCUUUCUUAACUACUUCUUCCUCAGAUAUUUUGUCACAGCAAUAAAAGAGUAAUUGAUUUAAGACGCAUUCACUUCAGCACUUAUCUGUCUAAUGAGGGACUAGACUGUUUCCACACUGAAUAUGGAGAACUUGAGUGGACAACUGGAUGAGGGCAUUGAAGUGAUUUCUGUGAACUUGACAUAACCUAGAAUCAUAAUGAGGAGUUAUCUGGAUCAGGUUGCCUGGGGGAGACUGACUUGCUAAGUGACCCAGCCCACUGUGGGUGGCCCCAUCCCCUAGUCCAGGCCCUGCCCUGUGUAAGAGUAAAGAAAGCUAAGUGAUCAGCCAGCAGGCAGCAUUAGUACAGGGAUCUGUAUCCUGCCUGCCCUGAGCUCCUGACUGUAGAUGUGGAGUGACCACUAACCCCAAGCAUAGUUCUACCACUGUGAUGAACCCGUAAUGUAGACUUAUAGUCCAAUAAAGUCUUCCUCUGCCAAGAUGCUCACUGUAGGAAUAUUUUUUACCAUAGCAACUGUAAUGGAGCAGGAGCAGGCAUUAUAAAAACACUUUAUCUUUUCAAUAUUUAAAGUUUCCCUGUACCAGAUAUCAGAUGAGUACCAACUGUAUGCCCCCAGGAAACCUAUAUGUUUUUGUUAAUGUAUUUUUAUGAGUGUGUUUGUAUGUUGACAUUCACACACACAUAUGUAUGUGCAUGUGGAAGUCAAAAGUCAGACGUCACCCUGAAUCAUUCUCUACCUUAGUCUCUAUUUAUAUCUUUUUUUUUCUGCUAUCAGGGAUAGAACCUAGGAGCUCAUGCUGGCCAAGUGCUGUGCCGUAUGCAAGCAGAAAAGUCAUAGAGCAAAGUUUCACAAGAGGGUUUGGGUUGGUUUUUGUUUUUCUGCAAUGCAGUAGGCAGAUGUGUCCCACCCCAUCUAGUACCCUGUUGUCACCAAACUGUGAGGGGCUGUGAACCUUAGAUCCUGGCUUCAGAGUCUCGCACUGAACCUGAGGGCCAUGAAUUUGCUCUGGUGGCCUGUCCAUCCAGAACUCCAGGACCUGCUUCUGUCUGUUCCCCAGUACUGGGGUUACAGAUGUGACACCAUAUCUGGUUCUUCCCUUGGGAACUGAUAUCCUAACUAAGGGCUUCAUACUUGUAUGGCUGGUAUUCCCCUACCUGAACCGUCUCCCCGGCUUCCUGUGAUCAUCUUGUGAACAUGAAUUUUACCAUUAAUUCUCUCUAGUUUUAUUAAAUGGUGUGAAUUUUACUGAACACUUGCUCUGAGGGGAACCCUGCACUGCCCUUGUCUUAUUUAGUGGUCGCAGCAGCCUAAGUAGUAGUUGUGAGGAUUCUCGUUUCCUGUUAGGUAAAAUAUCUUAGGUCUGAUGUUUCAGGAGUCAUAGCCGAUGACGUGUGUGGCCAGCGCUGUGACACCAAGAAGCAGAUUUGUCAAAACAAAGCCCAAAGCAUACACAUCCCUGGCUGUCUUAUCUUCUGUCUUCCUCUUUCUAUGCUGGUGUUUUGUGAUAGAGUCACUCCCUUUCCUCUUCAGUCACUCUGUCCUGGUGUCCGUCCCUUUGUCUGAGACUAUCCUGGUUUCCUGUUGGGUGAGUCACCGCAGUGUCUUUCCUGCUUCCUAGGAGCAGUGUGUGUCACGGGGCCUCUCCUUCACCCUGAGAAGGAGCUUUUCUGCUUCAUUCUUGCUCAGGGGCUUUCCUGCAGGGUCAGCUGGGUUACUGUCCAUCCCGCAGCCACAGGGUUCCCCUCAUCUGGUGACCUCAGUGAUCACCAGGGGUGCUGGGCCUUCUCCUGUGCUUGGCCUGAGAGAGAACCCAUUUUUAAUUCAGCCUGUUUUUAGCAUUUUCAUCUUAAAAUUCUUACACUUCCGUCUCACAGGCAUAACCCUUGGAAGGCAUGGGCAUGCGUGAUACAGAACGUGUUUCUCAGAGUGCUCUGUGGGGCCUGUGGAGAUGCCCGGGACCUCAACACCCCUGUCCUAGCAAUCCGAUGCACUUGUACCCUUUCCUGCACAUUGACAUCUGUUCUGGGUGCAGAAUCGACACUGCAGUACCUCUGCGGGGACCCUAGCAGUGGCCAGAGUGCCGCACUUGUCUGUUCCAGAGCCAGAGCCAGUUUAUUCUGCACACAUCGUAGAAAAUGGAACUUAAGCGCCUAUUUCACUUAAGAACAGCCUAGUUCUAGCAGUAUGUCAUCAAAUUUCAAACUUGAGUACUGCUCUGCAUCCUGCAUCCAGAGGAACAGGAACUGCCUCUUCCCGGAAGUGGAGGAAAGCCUGCACCUGAGAUGAGGGGCAUUUAAUGAGCUGACUUCAAAGGGAAAGUUAAAAAAGAGAGAGAGAGGCAUCUAUGUGUAUGAGGGGCUAGCUGUCUGUAAACCAUACCAUGUGUGCAGUACCCACAGAGGCCAGGAGAGGGCAGCAUAUUCCCGUGGCGCUGGAGUUGUAGACUCUUGGGAGCUGCCGUAUGGGUGCUGGAAAUCCAUCCCAGGUCCUCUGUUGGAGCAACCAGUGCUCUUAACCACCAAGCCGUCUCUCUAGACCUGAAAGUUACACAUUCAUGGAAGAACAGCGGGCAGCCAGUGCCUUUUCUGAUGUUGGUAUUUGGUCAGUGUUUUCUCAAAAGUGAACAACAGGAACCUGUGAUUUUUAAAUGGAACAAGGGGCAUUUGUCCUACCUCCGUGUUUGCUACUGUGAUAGAAUCCCUUACAAAAAGCAACUUAGGGGAGGGCUGGUUUUUUAGCUCACAGUUGUAGGUCGCAGUGGUAGGCUCCCAGUUUCGUUGUAUUGUAAAAAUAACAUGCAAGUACCGUGACAACUUCCUGGAGAUGCUCAGGGUGGGGUUUGCUCCUGCAGUUUCCCUACCCUGACGCCCACAUUGCCCUGCCCUGGCCCUGGAUUAUCUGUCGUUAGUAUCAGAAGAAACACUGGCCUAACUCAGUCCUGUGUUCUGUGUUUCCUGCGCUAGACAGACCUCCCUUAAGCUUCCUCUGUGCCCUUUAUCAUUGUGACCUCAUGUGGCAGCCCUCUGCCUGUAGGCGUCCAUCCCUCCUGGUCCUCCAAAGCUGUACGCUGUGUUAUCAGCUCACUGGCUCUCCAGUGGGCUCUGGGCAACUGUGCCUGGUGUUCUCUAGAAGCAAAUCCCACUAUCUUAAGGGCAAGGACUUGCUUCUUAUUUCUUUGUAUUUACAGCUCCUAUCUCGGACUCUUGAACAUGUUCAACACGUUGCUUCUCACUGAUAAAAUAUCAGAGACAUUUCUAAGUAAGCACAGCUAAGUUAAACUUUAGACAGGUUUAAAGUUAGUUACCACACAUUUCCCUUUGAGGGAGUCUAAGCUAAACAGGCGUCAUUGUAUUGGUUCUGUGUGCUUUCUGGAGUAGAAGGCUCAGGCCGUGGAAUAGGAUUCAAGUCUGAAGACAGUUUGGAAGACCAUGCCUUGUAUGGGGCCGGGAAUCAUUGAAGCUUCAUUCGCUCUCCCCACACUAAGGCCUGGGUUUUCAGGCAUGUUUUCCAGGGACGAAGAAAAUGAGAAGACAGGGUGCAUUUCCUCUCAGAGAUGUGUAUGUUGUGCACAGGCGUGUGUCGUGAGCGGGUGUGCUGUGUGUAGGGGUGUGUUAUAUGUAGGCGUGUGUUGUGUGUAGGUGUGUGUCGUGUGUAGGUGUGUGUUGUGUGUAUAGGUAUGUGUUGUGUGUAGGCGUGUGUUGUGUGUAGGUGUGUGUUGUGUGUAGGUGUGUGUUGUGUGUAUAGGUAUGUGUUGUGUGUAGGCAUGUGUUGUGUGUAGGCGUGUGUUGUGUGAAUAGGUAUGUGUUGUGUGAAUAGGUAUGUGUUGUGUGUAUAGGUAUGUGUUGUGUGUAGGCGUGUGUUGUAUGUAGGUGUGUGUUGUGUGUAGGCAUGUGUUGUGUAUAGGUGUGUGUUGUAUGUAGGUGUGUGUUGUGUGUAUAGGUAUGUGUUGUGUGUAGGUGUGUGCUGUGUGUAGGUAUGUGUUGUGUGUAUAGGUAUGUAUUGUAUAUAGGCGUGUGUUGUGUGAAUAGGUAUGUGUUGUGUGUAGGCGUGUGUUGUGUGUAUAGGUGUGUGCUGUAUGUAGGUGUGUGUUGUGUGUAUUGGUAUGUGUUGUGUGAUAGGUGUGUGUUGUGUGUAUAGGCGUGUGUUGUGUGUAGGUGUGUGUUGUGUGUAUAGGUAUGUGUUGUGUGUAGGCGUGUGCUGUGUGUAGGUGUGUGUUGUGUGAAUAGGUAUGUGUUGUGUGUAUAGGUAUGUGUUGUGUGUAUAGGUAUGUGUUGUGUGUAUAGGUAUGUGUUGUGUGUAGGUGUGUGUUGUGUGUAGGCGUGUGUUGUGUGUAUAGGUGUGUGUUGUAGGUUUACGUUGUGAAUAGUCGUGUGUUGAGCACAGUUGUGUGUUAGGAGCAGAGAUACCGUGUGCUUCUAGGUGUGUUGUGUCAGGUGUGUCAGGAGGCUGCCUUUGUAAGUCAUACCUGGUCUCAGGUGCCUGUGAUGUGACUUGGUUCCUCCCUUUCUUUCCAGCCGUGUUCAUGGGUUUUCCACUUCCUUGAAGCCAAUGUUUUCAAGUAUGACUCUCCUUGAGUGGGGUAUUCCACACCUCAGGAAAACCUCCCGUUCUUCCUGAGCCAGGCCAGUUCAGCUGUGAGGCCUUAGCAUACUCAGCAAAUCCCUCUACCCUUCGGAGGUGAGGCAGAAGCUGUGGACUUGGUUCUAGUGUUUGAUAUGGCGGUCUUACGAUCUGGUGGUGAAGUCGUUUUGAGGCGCAUGGGAAGCUUUAAAUGAUAUGAAACUAUCAGGAAGUUUUUGAAAUUGGUGACACCUGGCUGUUGUCCUUCUGUCAGAGGUACCUUUGAUGACAGGACCUCUGGCCUGUAGACCCCUCAAAGCACCAGCAUUCGCUGCAAAGGGGCAGGAAACAUCCCCACAUUCUAGGAAGCCGAAGGGUGAAGGAGCUAUCUGAAACACUCAGAGGCUUCUCAGAGAGGGAGUACUAAUGUUUUCCUUGAGUUAUGUGGUGCUGAGAGUUUCCCAGAGAACAAAACUUUAUUCUCUGUGUAGUCAGAGAAUACACCUAACUGUAUGCCACUUGUAGACAUCCACAAGGACACUCGGCACGUCUUCCAAGGCGCUAUCUUCACGAGGGGCAUAGCAGCAUGACCUUCAACAAGGCCUGUCGCCAAGUCCUGAGCUGGUGACAGUACAGGAUGCAGGGAUGCUGAGGGACUCAGGAAGACUGCUGACAACCAGAGGGGGAGCCUGAUGAUUGACAGCCUUGGAUAUUAAACUCUGACCUGGAAGUGAUAGACCAGAAGAUUGUGUAUGCAAGAUGUGACUGUGGAAAGGAACCUAAGGACAGAGAUGUUCCAGGCCCCACCCCUGCCUCCAUGGUGUGUGUGUGUGUGUGUGUGUGUGUGUGUGUGUGUGUGUGUGUGUGUGGUAGUAGGGCACUGAUGUCUAGAGUUUAAACCUCACAGGGGCUUUCUGAGCCUGCUCUGUUGGCAUGGUGAUAGAUUCCGGCUCUGCCUCUGAGGGGGAUCCACCAGUUAGCACAGGAAUGGAGCUAACUUUACCGUCCCCUGCCCUGCCUCUUUCCCCCUAACUCAUUUUUCUUCAACAGCGACACCCUUCAUUUUCUGUGCAUUUGCUUCAAGCUAGUGAGAGGAAAAGUCUUGGUCAGGCCACGUCCCCUGCGGGACCGGAGAACGGUCACAAAGAAAGAGGCAGUGCAGGAUUGUAAAGGGAAGUUAUGUUUCCAGCGCCUCCAAAGAGAGCCAGAAACAUUGAUCUCAGAAUGGGGAGAGAAGUGGGUGGGGGCAUGGAUCCUGUGACUUGGGCGUUUUGUUAGGCAAACAAACCAACCAACCUAAAAGGUUCUUGGUAAAAUGGGUGGCUGUCAGUCUGUGGAAACUCUAAGCUCUCUAGAAUCCCAGAGCUCAGUCUUAGUCCAGCCCAGUAAUGAAGACCCUUGCCUUCCCUCCUGGUAGGGACACCAGGAGCUCUGUGGGCCUCCCCAAUGACCUGGUGCCCCCAGGCUGACCUUGGCCUACUUUUCAGUGCUUUGGCCCAGUGUUCAAAACCCUUAGCAGACGGUCUGGCCUCCGAGAGUUAACUGUAAGUCACGUAGACAAGGGGGCCGUGUGGAAGUAACCCUUAUGAAGCCUCUCCACACAGCCAGCCGUGCUGUAUGGAUACAGUGCUGAGCCAGCAAGCCCUUGAUCUCCCUACUCUGGCAGGGUUGUUGGUCUCUGGGUCUGAGCCAGGCCUUGCAGGGGCCUUCUGGGUAGAAGCCGUGUCUGGAAGGCUUUGUGGGUUUUUGAAGCCCCUGCUCCCCAUAAGGAAGUGCCAGCAAAGAAAACAGCCUUCUGCUCAGGCUGUGGGUCCACUUCCAGGCUCUCAUUUCACACAGCCUGGGUCCAGCACUUUGCUUAGGAAAAAGAAAGAAAGAGAGAGAGAGAGGGAGGGAGGGAGGGAGGGAGGGAGGGAGGGAGGAAGGAAGGAAGGAAGGAAGGAAGGAAGGAAGGAAGGAAGGAAGGAAGGAAGAGAGAGAGAGAGUUCUUGUUGGGGAAGGUCCCUGUUCAAGAUGGUGGACUAAAAUGGUCAUUAAGAAGUGGGAGCACAUGGGAUGGAACCCCAAAAUGGUGUAGACAUUUGUUCUCUGACCCAGGAUUCCCAUCCAGACUUCAAGACGUGCAUCAUUGCCACGGUUCCUGGUGUGAUGUUGACCCUGGUUCCUUAGGCAGGGCGGGUGCUGGGAUAGCCCAGCCUUUUCUUGCUGAGCUGGAAUAAAUUACCUAGGCCAUUCAUCUGCAGGGCCUCUUCUCUGUGGCUCCCCUUUCCUUUCCUCAGCACCCCGGUAGCCCUGAGAAUGUCUGUCACUAAAUGUAUGAGCCCCACGUGUGUGUGAAAGAUGUCUUGAGUGGCCAUAUAACUGGCACAGUGACUGUCUGUCUAUCAGUUCAUGUGUGUGUGUGUGUGUGUGUGUGUGUGUGUGUGUGUGUUCACUAGUUUUU